rnacentral:miRNA from 1 species
CCUCCAGUUGUUUUCGGACUACAACUCCCAUCAUCCCUGACCACAGGUCCUGUUAGCUAAGGAUGAUGGGAGUUGUAGUCCCAAAAUAUCUGGAGG